UGUGGCAUUUUUGAAAUUUUAAUCAACUUUAUGAAGGUGUUUGACGGUUUUUAUAAAAUCGCCUUUGAUGUGAAUGCUACAAAGGCGAUUUUAUAAGAACCGUGUUUGUUUGUAACAAGACUACUACGGUUUAUACCCAUCACCGUCGUUGAAAUUAUCAUAUUUUAAUUCACGAUUUUUCACUUUCGUUGCUACUAGCCUACGUACGUUCGAUCAGCUUCUCUUGACAUAUUCUGGAAACCUCUGAAUGCAGCCACAAGCUUGGUCAUACCUCCUUUACUCUGCAGUGAGCUUCAAAUUGUGUCGCCAUUGCCAUUGUCUGUCUAAGUCUCGACAGCCAGCCACAAGCUUGGUCGUACCUCCUUCACUCCGACCAUUGUGCGGUUUUGUGAUCAGGCAUCAGCUUGUAACUCAUCUAUCUUUGGGGAUUGCUCUUCGUUAUGUUCUUGAUGCAUUGUGCAUGCCUGUAGAUUUCUAAAGUUUGUGUUGUUUUGAAGAGUGAAUUUCUUUCAAGUUUUCAUUCAAUAUCAGGUUUGACCUUGCUUUCACAUGUUACAGAUGUUUUUGUUUGGAAGUUUGGCAUUGGAACAGUUUCUGGAUCGUCUUAUUGAGUGGCCUCAGUAUUGCAAUCAUAUUCUUCAAAUUUUCCAUUUGUGCAAUACACAUUCAGAAAUAGUUUCCUUCAUUGAGCUGGCUCUCGCUAGGAUUUCCUCUGGUCAUUUGGAUGUUGAUGGGGCGAGUCAUGCUUCUGUUAUUAGUAAUCAUCAUUCUACACAGGCUACAAUAGGACAUGUGGAGCUCAGUGGCUCUAGUGUUAUACAACCUGGGCAGCAACAUUUGUCACUACAGCUUCAAUAAAGAUGUGAAAAUCCCUUGGAUGAUCGUCACAAAGCUUAUGUUGGUUCAUCUACUGAUGUAAAACCAUUGUUGUCUUUUCUAGGGAAAUCUUUAGUUCUAACACCUACUAAUGCUUCCAGUACCAAUAAGUUUCUAUUGAACUGCAAAUUUUAUGACAAAUCCCAGGCAUUCUACAGACCAUGAGGUUGCUCUCAUAGUACACAUGGCAUACCUUUCGUAUAUACUAUAUGAGCUAUUUUCUUUAGGUGCCAUUCUGACUGUUUUCUUCUGCGACAUUGUAAUGUCUCACUGCACGUGGCAUAAUGUGAUAGAGAGUUCAAGAGUGACAACCAAGCAUGUUUUUGCCACUUUGUCAUUCAUUGUUGAAAUCUUUAUCUUCCUCUAUGUGGGGAUGGAUGCAUUAGAUAUAGAAAAGUGGCAAAUUGUAAGUCAAAGGUAAGAGAUUUUUAGAUGAAAUUAAACCGCCUUGAAACUACUUCCUUUGAUAUGUGCAUCUGAUUUCAUUUUCUACAAGGAAACCAAGGUUUAGAUGAAAUUAAACCGCCUUGAAACUACUCCUGGCUUAUGAAAAUUGGAGUAUCUAU